GGCACACACCACCACGCCCAGCUAAUUUUUGUACUUUUAGUAGAGACAGGGUUUCACCAUGUUGGCCAGGAUGGUCUUGAUCUCUUGACCUUGUGAUCUGCCCGCGUCGGCCUCCCAAAGUGUUGGGAUUACAGGCGUGAGUUGCCUAUUUUUUUUUUUAAGGUGUGCACUUUUAUUCAACUGGUCUCAAGUCAGUGUACAGGUAAGCCCUGGCUGCCUCCACCCACUCCCAGGGAGACCAAAAGCCUUCAGAGAGAAGUGGGGUGGCUUUUAGGAGGGCAAGGGACUUCCUGUAAUAAUGCAUCUCAUGAUAUUUGGAAUGACUAUUAAAAAAAAGAACAAUAUACAAUCAAAGUCCUUGGCCACAUUGUAGAACUUUGGGGAAUGCUUGUGUCAACCGACUGCUGUCACCUCCACCGUUCCAGUUUUCAAAUCCUGAAUCAGGCCAAAAACAAAAACAAAAACAAAAAACAAAACAAACAAAAAGCAAAUACAGCCAUGCCAAUCUCAUCUCGCUUUCUGUGAAAGUUAGGUUUUGUCAAGAAAGGGUGUAAUGUAGGCUGGGCGCGGUGGCUCACGCCUGUAAUCCCAGCACUUUGGGAAGCCAAGGUGGGUGGAUCACCUGAGGUCAGGAGUUCCAGGCCAGCCUAGCCAACAUGGUGAAACCUUGUAUCUACUAAAAAUACAAAAAAUUAGCCAGGCUAAUGCCUGUAAUUAUCCUGCACAUGCCUGUAAUCCCAGCUACUUGGGAGGCUGAGGCAGGAGAAUCUCUUGAACCUGGGAGGUGGAGGUUGCAGUGAGCCAAGAUCGUACUAUUACACUCCAGCCUGGGCAACAAGAGCAAAACUCCGUCUCAAAAAUAAAUAAAUAAAUAAAAAUAAAUCAGCCGAGAUCACACCACUGCACUCCAGCCUGGGUGACAGAGCAAGACUCCAUUUCAAAACAAACAAACAAACAAACAAAAACAAACCAAAACAAAAAACCCUCUUUGGAAAAAACUACAGGCCACAGAUCCUACUGCAACUUGUGUUUGUUUUUCCUGGGUGUGUUCUCAACCUUAGCGAAAUAAACUUCUAGACUGAUUAAGAUCUGUCUCGGACACUUUUUGGUUUACACUAAUAUACAUGAGUGAAAGGCUUUUUUUGUUUUUUGUUUUAGAGACUUUAUAUUAUGAAAAUUUUCAGCCAUACACAAAAAUACUACUCAUCAUUCAGUUUCAACAAUCAUCAACAUUUUAACAUUUUUGUUUAUCCCACUCCCAUUUCUUUUUUUCCUCUGGACAUUUUAAAAUGUAUCCCAGACACCGUAU
rnacentral:lncRNA from 1 species